GAUAAACGCUGGCGGCGUGCUUUAUGCAUGCAAGUCGAACGGUCUCGAUUUAUCGAGAUAGUGGCGAAUGGGUGAGUAACAGGUAAGUAACCUGCCCCAUAAGUGGGGAAUAACCUCGGGAAACCGGGGCUAAUACCUCAGUGGUGGUGGAGGUAAUGCUUCAUCACUAAAGCCUUCGGGUGCUUGGGGAGGGGCUUGCCUCUGAUUAGCUAGUUGGUAGGGUAACGGCUUACCAAGGCGACGAUCGGUAGCUGGUCUGAGAGGAUGGUCAGCCACACUGGGACUGAGACACGGCCCAGACUCCUACGGGAGGCAGCAGCAAGGAAUUUUGUGCAAUGGGCGAAAGCCUGACACAGCAACGCCGCGUGGGGGAUGAAGGCCUUCGGGUCGUAAACCCCUUUUCUCAGGGAAGAAUAAUGACGGUACCUGAGGAAUAAGCCUCGGCUAACUACGUGCCAGCAGCCGCGGUAAUACGUAGGAGGCGAGCGUUAUCCGAAUUUACUGGGCGUAAAGAGGGCGUAGGCGGCCUUUCAAGUCGGAUGUGAAAUCUCCCGGCUUAACCGGGAGGGGUCAUCCGAUACUGUUGGGCUAGAGGGCAGCAAGGGAAGGUAGAAUUCCCGGUGUAGUGGUGAAAUGCGUAGAUAUCGGGAGGAAUACCAGUGGCGAAGGCGGCCUUCUGGGCUGUUUCUGACGCUGAGGCCCGAAAGUGUGGGUAGCGAACAGGAUUAGAUACCCUGGUAGUCCACACCAUAAACGAUGGACACUAGGUAUAGGGAGUAUCGACCCUCUCUGUGCCGAAGCUAACGCCUUAAGUGUCCCGCCUGGGGACACGGCCGCAAGGCU
rnacentral:rRNA from 1 species